AGCAGCCGCGGUAAUUCCAGCUCCAAUAGCGUAUAUUAAAGUUGUUGCAGUUAAAAAGCUCGUAGUUGAAUUUCGGGAUCAAUACGUCGGUCGUGCUUCGGUACGUACUGGCGUAAUUGAUUUCUCCCUUCUGAAGAACCAUGAUGUCAUUUAUUUGGUGUCGUGGGGAAUCAGGACUGUUACUUUGAAAAAAUUAGAGUGUUUAAAGCAGGCUCACGCUUGAAUACAUUAGCAUGGAAUAAUGAAAUAGGACGUUUGAUUCUAUUUUGUUGGUUUCUAGGAUCGACGUAAUGAUUAAUAGGGAUAGUUGGGGGCAUUAGUAUUCAAUUGUCAGAGGUGAAAAUUCUUGGAUUUAUUGAAGACUAACUACUGCGAAAGCAUUUGCCAAGGAUGUUUUCAUUAAUCAAGAACGAAAGUUAGGGGAUCGAAGACGAUCAGAUACCGCCGUAGUCUUAACCAUAAACUAUGCCGACUAGGGAUCGGAUGAUGUUAAUUUUUAAUGACUCAUUCGGCG
rnacentral:rRNA from 1 species